AGGUGAAUACUGACGGCUUCGCUUCUGGCGCUCCUAACGCAAUUGCAGCAGGUGCAUUUUUUCGGGAUAAGUAUGUUAGGGGCCGUUUUCAUAGUAAAGGUGGUACAGGUUUCGCUUUUGAAGCUGAACUUCUUGCGGUCAUUACUGCUAUCUCCAUUGCUCAUUCUAGAGGUUGGUUUCAUUUGUGGGUGGAAGCUGAUUCCAUGUACGUCAUCUUUUUGCUUGAAAUUAGGAAUUGUGACGUUCUGUGGUGCUUUAUGUCGCUCUGGAAACAUACGCUCCAGUUGCUUAAUGGGUUUCAACUUCGUACUUCUCAUAUUUACCGCGAGGGCAACGCGGCGGCAGACAUCAUGACGAACAGCGAUUGGGAGUUAGGUUGGUGGCCUUUCGCUGUGGAUCCUAUAAAGCAAGUCGUGGCUAGAGACAUGUCCUGCCACAGUUUUGUUCACAUCAAAUGAUUGCUUGGUUUUUCCCGUCUUGCUCGCUGAAGUCAGGGGUUUGUUGGCCCGAGCUGAUCUGGUCUGGGGUUGCUGGGCUGGGCUUUUCUUCGAAUUGGUGGCUUAUAUGUUUUUUUCUUACAGAGGCCUUUUCCCGAACAGCUGGAGUGGUUGCUGGGCUCUGGAGAGGCUCUUCUCCGAACAGCUGGUUCGCUGGUGGCUUCUCUAUGUUCUUGGGCUCUAAAAGGUGUCUCUUCUGGUUGGUGGGACGUUGAUUUGCUCAGGCUGCUUGGCCUUUGGUUGUGGCAUGUUUUCAUAUCCAGCUCUUUUUAUAGUAAAGGUUGGGUUCAUGGCAGUUGUGGUUGGAGCGUUCCCGGGUUCUUUUACAGCUCUUGGGUGCGCUCAUAGCUGGGAAUCUAAGAAGUCGGGCUCUGUUGGUGGCUCCGCGGUUGGAUUUCGGUCCUGCCGGCGUUGAGCUUUCAUUUUGCUUCCAGUGGUUUUCUUUGGAACUCGUUCUUUUGGUUUUUCUAUUUUUGUGCGUUCCAUGUUUUGGCGUGGGAUAGCCCGGGCGACUUGGGGGCAAUGGUUCGGCCGGAGCUUUCGAAGUCGCCUUCCCGCUCUCCCCGUCUUUGCUGUUUCUUUCGAUUGAAUUUUCGAAGAGCAUUUUUUUCCCUAUCUAGGGGUUUUCCCUAGGUAGGUUUUAACGAGUCUUGACCCUUAGUAUGCUCCUUUGUGGGUUCUAGGUUUUUUCUUUUCCUUUUAUAAUAUGGCUGCUAUUUCAUUUAAUUCUA